GAGAGAGAGAGAGAGAGAGGAAGAAAUACCUGUUUGAGAGAGCUACUGUGUGAGAGAGAGAGAGGUGCUGCUAUGAAAGAAAUGAGCUAUUGUGUUGCUUGCUUGAAAAAAUGAGGUAGGGUUUAAUUUUUGUUAAAAAUAAUUAAAAAAGAAAAAAAUUGACAAUUCCUGCAAAAAAGCGUUGGCUCAUUGCCACGUCGCCUUUCGCGUCUCACCUAUCUUUGGGCGGUUGCCUCUUGGAAUUUAGGCUAGGCGAGGUAUCACACCUUACCCCUCCGUAAGGCGUAAUAUGAUCCUGUAGUAUACCUAAUGAAUUACUGAACUUCAUCUACCGAUAACUCAUUAAAUGCACUACAAGGAAUUUUAAACAAAUUCAAUUCAUUUUAAAAUUAUAAAGUAAUGUUAAAGCAUUAUUUAAAAGCCUUUAGUUGGAGUUUAUGUCAUAAACAAAUAUUUUGGUAUUUAUGAUUUUUCACAAAUUUUAUAAAAAUUUCGGCAGAGUGUCGGCUGUAAUAAGAGAAAACAAUUCUUCAAAACUUGAAAAAAAAGCACUUCCAAUAUUCAUUUCACAACCUCAACUCCAAAAAUCCUCAAUUUAACACAAAUUCAUUUCAAUUAAUACAACUUAAUACGUAUUUAAUACUCAUUAAUUCUUAAUUCAACACAUUUGGAAUAAAUAUCAAAUUUAUUUCAUUUAAUUUAAUUUACAUACAAAAAUCUCAGUUCAAAGGAAAGAAAACUAGAAAUAAUAUUAUUACAAAUUUUACUGUACAACUGCUCAAUUAAUACAAAAGAUACAUAUGAACAAAAAUAUUUACAUUAAAAGUGAUUACAAGGGUAUAAACAAUAUACCUGUACGAAAAUCCUCAAAAUGUCCUCCUACCAUUAGAGUAGCUCACUCUGCUGCUUUAUCCUUUCCUCUAUCUUGUAUGAGUCGCCUCUAGACUUUGACUCAUUUUUUCCUUAUCUUUUCUGGUCUCUUCUUCAACUUUAAUGGUGUUCUCUUCAAUCUUUCAAAUCUUCAAAUUUCUCUAAAUUCUUUUGCUCCAAAUCUUCUUUUAAAACUCAAAACUAAGUUUUAAUUUGGGAAACUAAGGGAUUAAUGGCUGAAUUUGGGGUUUAAGAAGCUUUUAAGUGUGUUUUAAUGGAGGUUUUUGUGAGAAAAAUGAGAGAGAUGAGAGAGAUAGGAGACGGCAAAGAGAUGAAGUGAAG
rnacentral:misc_RNA from 1 species